UACGAAGGGGGCUAGCGUUGCUCGGAAUCACUGGGCGUAAAGGGUGCGUAGGCGGGUCUUUAAGUCAGGGGUGAAAUCCUGGAGCUCAACUCCAGAACUGCCUUUGAUACUGAAGAUCUUGAGUUCGGGAGAGGUGAGUGGAACUGGCGAGUGUAGAGGUGAAAUUCGUAGAUAUUCGCAAGAACACCAGUGGCGAAGGCGGCUCACUGGCCCGAUACUGACGCUGAGGCACGAAAGCGUGGGGAGCAACAGG
rnacentral:rRNA from 1 species